GACGAACGCUGGCGGCGUGCUUAACACAAGCAAGUCGAACGAUGAACUCCAGCUUGCUGGGGGGAUUAGUGGCGAACGGGUGAGUAACACGUGAGUAACCUGCCCUGGACUCUGGGAUAACCCCGAGAAAUCGGAGCUAAUACCGGAUAGGACCUGGAACCGCAUGGUUUUGGGUGGAAAGUUUUUCGGUCUGGGAUGGA
rnacentral:rRNA from 1 species